CACAUGGAGUCUUGACUUCUUCAAGUUACAGGUUCAAAUUUCUAUAGGAAAACUGUAGGUCAUCUGCUGUGUCUGAGUGGGCACUUGUAGUCCAUUGCUGAGACAUGACCGUAUCCCUUGCCUUUUCCUUGGCAGAAACCACCCAACAAUGGCAAAAGUGCUGGUGGAUCCCUGCAUUUGACUGGAAGUUCUUAUUCAGUACAGGGUUAUGGAGUGAAGGAAUGGAAGAGCAGGAAGGGUGUGCACUCUGCUACGGAGAUGAACUAGCUUGAGGCUGCUCACAAGACAGGAUUCACCCGGUUAUAUAUCAGGAAAUGCAAGAGUUUGCAGAUGGGGAGGCAGAAGCACGUCAGUGAAGAGACUUGCCUGUUGUCAGCUGUGGUGAGGCAUUGAUCCAAGCAGUCCUGAUUUCCAGGCACCGCUUUAACCCGUCAGGUAGACUCUGAUUCUUCCUCUUUGGUAGUGUCCUUAGUGGUUCUGCCAUCUCCCUCCAUGCAGCGUCUCUCUUGGUUUUCACAUUUGCAGAAAUCUAUGCAGGGCCAUGCAUAAGGGAGCAGCACACUGCAUGGCUUCCUGGCACAGAAACCAAACACAAAAAUGCCGUUCUCCCAGUCCUCAGCCUUAUGCACACAUGGUGUGCAGCCCUGCUGAAAUCCAUUUAAUGUGUUCAAUAUGCAUCAUCCAUGACUUAUAGGUUGGAUGCAGGAAAAGAAAAACAAAACAUCACUGUAAAACAAACUAUGAUUUCAGAGAGUUGCUGAAAACGAAAAGCAGGAACAGUCACCAGGGAUCUUUCAACAAAUGUAAUUUAAAGAGCUCACUUUCAGCUCUCUGGGCACUUUGACAAGCAUUUAGUGGGAUUCAGGCAACUACUCAGUAGUAAUGGGCAGCUGUCUGUGCAGCAGGGCUGUGCAGGGCUGGGGAAGAUAAUGUAGGCAGUG
rnacentral:lncRNA from 1 species